rnacentral:rRNA from 1 species
GUGAGGAAUAUUGCGCAAUGGAGGCAACUCUGACGCAGCCAUGCCGCGUGCAGGAAGAAGGCGCUACGCGUUGUAAACUGCUUUUAACCGGGAAGAAACCCCAGGACGUGUCCUGGGUUGACGGUACCGGAGGAAUAAGCACCGGCUAACUUCGUGCCAGCAGCCGCGGUAAUACGAAGGGUGCAAGCGUUAUCCGGAUUCAUUGGGUUUAAAGGGUGCGUAGGCGGAGCGUUAAGUCAGUGGUGAAAUCCUGCAGCUUAACUGUAGACUUGCCAUUGAUACUGGCGCUCUUGAGUGCGGUUGAAGUGGGCGGAAUGUGUCGUGUAGCGGUGAAAUGCUUAGAGAUGGCACAGAACACCAAUUGCGAAGGCAGCUCACUAAGGCGAUACUGACGCUGAGGCACGAAAGCGUGGGGAUCGAACAGGAUUAGAAACCCCUGUAGUCC